AUUGAACGCUGGCGGCAGGCCUAACACAUGCAAGUCGAACGAGUAGCGGACGGGUGAGUAAUGUCUGGGAAACUGCCUGAUGGAGCGGGAUAACUACUGGAAAAGGUAGCUAAUACCGCAUACCAUCGGAUGUGCCCAGAUGGGAUUAGCUAGUAGGUGGGGUAAAGGCUAACCUAGGCGACGAGCCCUAGCUGGCCUGAGAGGGUGACCGCCCACACUGGAACUGAGACACGGUCCAGACUCCUACGGGAGGCAGCAGUGGGGAAUAGUGCACAAUGGGCGAAAGCCGGAUGCAGCCAUGCCGCGUGUAUGAAGAAGGCCGUCGGGUUGUAAAGUACUUUCAGCGGGGAGGCGUUACCCGCAGAAGAAGCAACGGCUAACUACGUGCCAGCAGCCGCGGUAAUUC
rnacentral:rRNA from 1 species